GGGUGAGUAACGCGUGAGUAACCUGCCCUGGAGUGGGGGACAACAGUUGGAAACGACUGCUAAUACCGCAUAAGCCCACGGAUUCGCAUGGAUCUGUGGGAAAAGGAUUUAUUCGCUCUAGGAUGGACUCGCGUCCAAUUAGCUAGUUGGUGAGGUAACGGCCCACCAAGGCGACGAUUGGUAGCCGGACUGAGAGGUUGAACGGCCACAUUGGGACUGAGACACGGCCCAGACUCCUACGGGAGGCAGCAGUGGGGGAUAUUGCACAAUGGGGGAAACCCUGAUGCAGCGACGCCGCGUGGAGGAAGAAGGUUUUCGGAUUGUAAACUCCUGUCGUUAGGGACGAUAAUGACGGUACCUAACAAGAAAGCACCGGCUAACUACGUGCCAGCAGCCGCGGUAAAACGUAGGGUGCAAGCGUUGUCCGGAAUUACUGAGUGUAAAGGGAGCGCAGGCGGACCGGCAAGUUGGAAGUGAAAACUAUGGGCUCAACCCAUAAAUUGCUUUCAAAACUGCUGGCCUUGAGUAGUGCAGAGGUAGGUGGAAUUCCCGGUGUAGCGGUGGAAUGCGUAGAUAUCGGGAGGAACACCAGUGGCGAAGGCGACCUACUGGGCACCAACUGACGCUGAGGCUCGAAAGCAUGGGUAGCAAACAGGAUUAGAUACCCUGGUAGUCCAUGCCGUAAACGAUGAUUACUAGGUGUUGGAGGAUU
rnacentral:rRNA from 1 species